GGGAGGAGAGCCACUCACACAAAUUUAUAAUAAUAUAUUCGAUAAAAUUUUACAGAUUCGAAAAAUGAUAAGAUAAAUACAUAUUUUAUUUUUAUCCCCAUGGAGUAGAAAGAUUAUUCUUUUUAUAGACCUUUGUGUUAGGAAGAAUGUAAGUUUCAGACGAUUAUUUUUGAAAAUCUUCAUAAAAUAACUAUUUCCAAUAGUUGUCUAGGGUCAUUUUUGUUUAGUCUGCAAAGUUGAUUUUAAAAUUUGAUUUAAAAAAAUUGUGAAUUUUGUAAGGUCUAAGGUGGUAUUUCGUAACAAUAUGAAUUUGGAGUCUCAAAAUAGCAUUUCAUCAAUUUCAUCCGCUCUAGAAUGUGGAAUUUGGUCUAAGAAUGAUGUCAUUUUUUGGUUGUAUUGAUGACUCGUAUGUGUUAAGGUGUUAGCAUUUUGUGAUAUAUUAACUGUGAACUGCUAGGUUGGGAUUGGUUCUGUGCACGUUGUGCUUGAAGAGGUUCGAUUGAGGUUCAAGUUUGGAUCUGCGAGAUUACUUUUUCUCCCCUUCUACAUCUGAGGCUUAUUACAGAGAGUGUUGAGGCAGCUGCUUGUCAUCCUAGCUGACACCUCUUUACUCCUUUAUCAUGAUUUUAUUCUAUUUUAGAAAAAAUGACAUUGAGAUUUGUAUUUUUCUUUAAACAAUUAAAAUUUUAGACUUUUAUUCUUGUUUUACUUCUACAUUUGUUGUUAUGUUUUGGGUUUUAGAAUGAUUUGUCUUGGUAGGAUAAAACAAGAGUCAUCACAUUCACUUU